rnacentral:rRNA from 2 species
CCUGGCUCAGGACGAACGCUGGCGGCGUGCCUAAUACAUGCAAGUCGAGCGGACAGAUGGGAGCUUGCUCCCUGAUGUUAGCGGCGGACGGGUGAGUAACACGUGGGUAACCUGCCUGUAAGACUGGGAUAACUCCGGGAAACCGGGGCUAAUACCGGAUGGUUGUCUGAACCGCAUGGUUCAGACAUAAAAGGUGGCUUCGGCUACCACUUACAGAUGGACCCGCGGCGCAUUAGCUAGUUGGUGAGGUAACGGCUCACCAAGGCGAACGAUGCGUAGCCGACCUGAGAGGGUGAUCGGCCACACUGGGACUGAGACACGGCCCAGACUCCUACGGGAGGCAGCAGUAGGGAAUCUUCCGCAAUGGACGAAAGUCUGACGGAGCAACGCCGCGUGAGUGAUGAAGGUUUUCGGAUCGUAAAGCUCUGUUGUUAGGGAAGAACAAGUGCCGUUCAAAUAGGGCGGCACCUUGACGGUACCUAACCAGAAAGCCACGGCUAACUACGUGCCAGCAG